rnacentral:tRNA from 1 species
GCCGGGGUGGUGAAACUGGUAGACACGUACGUUUGAGGGGCGUAUGGGGAGACCCAUACGGGUUCAAGUCCCGUCUCCGGCA